UACGUAGGGUGCGAGCGUUAAUCGGAAUUACUGGGCGUAAAGCGUGCGCAGGCGGUUUGCUAAGACCGAUGUGAAAUCCCCGGGCUUAACCUGGGAACUGCAUUGGUGACUGGCAGGCUAGAGUAUGGCAGAGGGGGGGUAGAAUUCCACGUGUAGCAGUGAAAUGCGUAGAGAUGUGGAGGAAUACCGAUGGCGAAGGCAGCCCCCUGGGCCAAUACUGACGCUCAUGCACGAAAGCGUGGGGAGCAAACGAGGAU
rnacentral:rRNA from 1 species